UCGAACGAAGCACUUGAGAAUGAUUCUUCGGAUGAAGUCUUUUGUGACUUAGUGGCGGACGGGUGAGUAACGCGUGGGUAACCUGCCUCACACAGGGGGAUAACAGUUGGAAACGACCGCUAAUACCGCAUAACCCGCUGGUAUCGCAUGAUACUGACGGAAAAGAUUUUAUCGGUGUGAGAUGGACCCGCGUCUGAUUAGCCAGUUGGCAGGGUAACGGCCUACCAAAGCGACGAUCAGUAGCCGGCCUGAGAGGGUGAACGGCCACAUUGGGACUGAGACACGGCCCAAACUCCUACGGGAGGCAGCAGUGGGGAAUAUUGCACAAUGGGGGAAACCCUGAUGCAGCGACGCCGCGUGAGUGAAGAAGUAUUUCGGUAUGUAAAGCUCUAUCAGCAGGGAAGAAAAUGACGGUACCUGACCAAGAAGCCCCGGCUAACUACGUGCCAGCAGCCGCGGUAAUACGUAGGGGGCAAGCGUUAUCCGGAUUUACUGGGUGUAAAGGGAGCGUAGACGGCUGAGCAAGUCAGAAGUGAAAGCCCGGGGCUCAACCCCGGGACUGCUUUUGAAACUGCGGAGCUGGAGUGCAGGAGAGGUAAGCGGAAUUCCUGGUGUAGCGGUGAAAUGCGUAGAUAUCAGGAGGAACACCAGUGGCGAAGGCGGCUUACUGGACUGUAACUGACGUUGA
rnacentral:rRNA from 1 species